rnacentral:rRNA from 1 species
UGGAUUGAGAACACGUACAAACCUUAUUCGAUAAACAAUUGGAGGGCAAGUCUGGUGCCAGCAGCCGCGGUAAUUUCCAGCUCCAAUAGCGUAUAUUAACGUUGUUGCAGUUAAAAAGCUCGUAGUUGAAAUGAAGGGUAGUUGUGUAAUGAAUACAUUCGUGUAUUUUGUUAUUCUACUACCCUCCUUCUAAAUUCGAUAUAUGAGUAUUAAUUUACUUGUAUAUGGUUUUAGACUUUUACUGUGAGAAAAUUAGAGUGUUCAAAGCAGGCAUUUGCUUGAAUAUAUUAGCAUGGAAUAAUCAUGUAUGAUUUUCAUGAUGUAUUUGAUUGGUUUGGUUCAUGAGAAUAAGAUUAAAAGGGACAGUUGGGGGUAUUCAUAUUCAAUAGUCAGAGGUGAAAUUCUCGGAUUUAUGGAAGAUGAACAAGUGCGAAAGCAUUUACCAAGGAUGUUUUCAUUAAUCAAGAACGAAAGUUAGGGGAUCGAAGAGGAUUAGAUACC